AGUGAACGCUGGCGGCAGGCCUAAUACAUGCAAGUCGAACGGCAGCACAGCAGAGCUUGCUCUGUGGGUGGCGAGUGGCGGACGGGUGAGGAAUACAUGGGAAUCUGCCCAGUCGUGGGGGAUAACGUAGGGAAACUUACGCUAAUACCGCAUGCGCCCUUCGGGGGAAAGCCGGGGACCUUCGGGCCUGGCGCGAUUGGAUGAGCCCAUGUCGGAUUAGCUGGUUGGCGGGGUAAAGGCCCACCAAGGCGACGAUCCGUAGCUGGUCUGAGAGGAUGAUCAGCCACACUGGAACUGAGACACGGUCCAGACUCCUACGGGAGGCAGCAGUAGGGAAUAUUGGACAAUGGGCGCAAGCCUGAUCCAGCCAUGCCGCGUGAGUGAAGAAGGCCUUCGGUUGUAACCUCUUUCAGUAGGGACGAAGCGCAAGUGACGGUACCUACAGAAGAAGCACCGGCCAACUACGUGCCAGCAGCCGCGGU
rnacentral:rRNA from 1 species